UACGUAGGGAGCAAGCGUUGUCCGGAAUCAUUGGGCGUAAAGCGCGCGUAGGUGGCUUCGUAAGUCCGUUGUGAAAGUCAAGGGCUCAACCUUUGAAUGCCGAUGGAUACUGCGGAGCUAGAGUACGGAAGAGGCGAGUGGAAUUCCUGGUGUAGCGGUGGAAUGCGCAGAUAUCAGGAGGAACACCAAUAGCGAAGGCAGCUCGCUGGGACGUUACUGACACUAAGGCGCGAAAGCGUGGGGAGCGAACAGG
rnacentral:rRNA from 1 species